AUUAAUGAUCAUUAUAUGCCAAUGAAUAAGAUGUUGGAAUUGUUAAUCAUGGAACUGGAAAGCAAUGAAGAUUGUAAAAUUGUGCUAUGUUGCAACAUUGGAUAUAGAAGGAAAAAGGAAGUGUAUAUUCCAUGUUCGGUAUUCGCAAUCUAGUGCCAUAAUGCGAGUGUUUUAGGUCUUUGUAGUAAGAUAACCUGUAUCAUGUUCAUGUGGGACAAAAAGGGGGGUUGUAGUGGUUGGGCUCUGGACGUCACGGCAUUGGGUUAUGCGGUGAAAUUUGG
rnacentral:misc_RNA from 1 species